CGGCUUUCGCACUGAUUGCCCAGA
rnacentral:miRNA from 10 species